CUCCCUUUGGGGACAUCCAUUAAAAUUGGAGCGAUACAGAGAAGAUUAGCAUGGCCCCUGUGCAAGGAUGACACGCACAAAUCAAGAAAUGGUCCAAAUAUUU
rfam:Triticum aestivum genome assembly, contig: Triticum_aestivum_CS42_TGACv1_scaffold_290173_4AL